AGAGUCAAGAAUAAGUGCAUCAGGUGGAUGCUCUAGCGAUGAUAGGCGAAGAAGGACGUGUGUUCGCGAAAAGCACGGAGAAGUUUGGCAAAGCAAUGAUACCGUGAUAUCCGAAUGGGGAAACCCACUGAGCAAUCAGUAUCCGGUCUGAAUACAUAGGGCUAGAGAAGAACUCUGGAGAACUGAACCAUCUAAGUACCAGAGGAAAAGAAAUCAACCGAGAUUCCGCAAGUAGUGGCGAGCGAACGUGCGGAAAAAGCCUGUAUAUGGUAGUUGUUGAGAUAGAAGAAGGAAUUGGAAACUUCCGCCAUAGUGGGUGAUAGCCCCGUAUUUGAAAUCUCAAUGAUGGUACUAAGUAUACAAAAAGUAGGGUGGGACACGUGAAAUCCUGUCUGAAUAUGGGGGGGACCAUCCUCCAAGCGCCAAAUUACUCAUCAUCGACCGAUAGUGAACCAACACUGUGAGGGAAAAGAAAAGAACCCCGAGGGGAGGAAUAGAACCUGAAACCUGAUGCAUACAUACAGUGGGAGCACCUUUAUGGUGUGACUGGGUACCUUUCGUAUAAUGGGUCAACGACUUACAUUCAGUAGCGAGCUUAACCGAGUAGGGGAGGCGUAGGGAAACCGAGUCUUAAUAGGGCGACUAGUUGCUGGGGUGUAGACCCGAAACCGAGUGAUCUAUCCAUGAUUGUAGAUGAAGGUGCCGUAACAGGUACUGGAGGUCCGAACCCACGCAUGUUGCAAAAUGCGGGGAUGAGCUGUGGAUAGGGGUGAAAGGCGGAACAAACUCGAGAUAGCUGGUUCUCCCCGAAAACUAUUUAGGUAGUGCCUCGAGAUAUGAGACUGAUGGGGGUAAAGCACUGUUAUGGCUAGGGGGUUAUUGCAACUUACCAACCCAUGCUAAACUAAGAAUACCAUCAAGUUGCUCCUGGGAGACAAGUAUCGGGUGCGCAAACAACGUCCGGUGUCAAGAGGGAAACAACCCAGACCGCCAGCUAAGGUCCCAAAUGAUAGAUUAAGUGGUAAACGAAGUGGGAAGGCACAGACAGCCAGGAUGUUGGCUUAGAAGCAGCCAUCAUUUAAAGAAAGCGCAAUAGCUCACUGGUUUGUCUUCCUGCGCGGAAGAUGUAACGGGGGCUCAAAUCUAUAACCUUGAAGGCGGAUGCAGUAAUGCAUGGUAGGGGAGCGUUCUGUAAGCCUGCGAAGGUGACUGUAAAGGUUGCUGGAGGUAUCAGAAGUGCGAAUGUUGACAUGAGUAGCGAUAAAGCGGGUGAAAAGCCCGCUCGCCGAAAGCCUGAGCGUUUCCUACGGCAGCGUAGCGAGUCGGCCCCUAAGGCAAGGCAGAGAUGCGUAGUCGAUGGGAAACAGGUUAAUAACGUACUUGAUUCAAAUGCGAUGUGGGGACGGAGAAGGCUAUGCCAUCAAUCUGUUGGAUUAGAUUGUUUAAGCAGGUAGGUAGAGGAAGUAGGCAAAUCCGCUUCUUUAAUACCGAGAUGUGAUGACGAGUGUCUACGGACAUGAAGUAGUAAAUACCACGCUUCCAGGAAAGCCACUAAGCUUCAGUUUGAAUUGAACCGUACCGCAAACCGACACAGGUGGGCAGGAUGAGAAUUCUAAGGCGCUUGAGAGAACUCGGGGAGAAGGAACUCGGCAAAUUGAUACCGUAACUUCGGGAGAAGGUAUGCCCUCUAAGGUGAAGGCCCGUAAGCCCCUGAGGGUCGCAGAGAAUCGGUGGCUGCGACUGUUUAUUAAAACACAGCACUCUGCUAACACGAAAGUGGACGUAUAGAGUGUGACGCCUGCCCGGUGCUGAAGGUUAAUUGAAGAUGUGCAAGCAUCGGAUCGAAGCCCCAGUAAACGGCGGCCGUAACGAUAACGGUCCUAAGGUAGCGAAAUUCCUUGUCGGGUAAGUUCCGACCCGCAACGAAUGGCGUAACGAUGGCCACACUGUCUCCCGAGACUCAGCGAAGCUGGAAUAAUUGUGAAGAUGCAAUCUCCCCGCUGCUAGACGGAAAGACCGUGAACCUUUACUGUAGCUUUGCAUUGGACUUUGAAGUCACUUGUGUAGGAUAGGUGGAGGCUUUGAAGCAGAGACGCUAGUCCUUGCGGAGCUGUCCUUGAAAUACCACCCUGGGUGACUUUGAGGUUCUAACCCAGACCCGUUAUCCGGGUCGGGACCGUGCAUGGUAGGCAAAGGUUGACUGGGGCGGUCUCCCUCCCAAGAGUAACGGAGGAGUUCGAAGGUUACCUAGGGCCCGGUCGGAAAUCGGACUGAUAGUGCAAUGGCAAAAGGUAGCUUAACUGCGAGACCGACAAGUCGAGCAGGUGCGAAAGCAGGACAUAGUGAUCCGGUGGCUUGAAUGAAGGCCACUGCUCAACGGAUAAAAGGUACCUGCAUAACAGGCUGAUUCCGCCCAAGAGCGUCCAUAUCGACGGCGGAGUUUGGCACCUCGAUGUUCGUCAUGACAGCAGUACGUAGUCGCUUGCAGUAAGCCGUUCGCCAUAGCGGUACGAGCCGUUUAAAACGUCGUGAGAUUGCUUGUCCCUUGCGGGCGUUGGAAGCUUGAAGCUGCCGCGCGGCUCUAGGUGACCGGGCGGGACGAACCUCUGGUGUACCGGCGCCAGCGCAAGCCGGGUAGCUGUUCGAGGAGGGCGCGCCGACUCCUAAAGCGUGAAAGGCACGUACGCUGUCCAUUUCAAACCCUCUGCUAGUUAUUAGUAGUAGGUUUUAU
rnacentral:rRNA from 1 species